UUGGGAAAUUAGUACAAAAUUCACUCUUUUAGUGGUGGAUUUUGAUCUUUCAAAGACCAAAUCCUUGCAUGCUCAUCUGUAAUUUUGAAUUUUCCAUCACUCUACUAUAAGUGGUAGUUUAUUGUGUUGCAGAAUUUCUACGUGCAUAUAGAGGGGCUGCGCGUAUGGUUUAUCUGUGCUAGCCUAGUGUUGUAUGGAUGAGUCAAUGGCUGUUGGAAAGAUUAGCUCAGUUGUUAUGGUGGCUGGUCAACAAGAAUACAGUGCCUAAUGCUUGAAUGUUGAAGCGAAUUUAAUUGCUUAAAUUCUACUUGGUCACUAAGACAGAUUUAUCUCCCAAAAAUGUCGUACGAAUAUGGUAGUCUUGCCAUCCUGUGAGUUAAAACAAUAUUUAGCUUGCAGUCAUGCAUGGAUAAACUUAGUGCUUAGAGCCCAGCGUAGGACAAUAGGUUCCUUCUUCUUUUUUAUGUCAUUUAGAAUCCUCAAUCAUCUGAGUCUUUCCACUUUGGAAAAUUUCCUAGAUCAGUAGAGAUGCCUCAAGGUGUCAAAGAACUAGAUCUCACAUACUAAAAACCCUGGAUAUGUGGAUUGAGGUGCCCAAUGAGUAAUAGUUGUUUGGACACCUAAGGAUAUUAUGAAGUUAUUAGUUAAUAGGCACCUCCAUAAUAAAGCCUAUUUGAAUAAAAUUACAAUCUGUACAUGAAGACCUACUUUUUCAUUCAUAAAUUUUGGCGACCUAUUUCUAGAGAAAAUAACUUUCUUGGUCAGUUUACCCCGUUGAGUCAUUAAUGAAGGAUUUGAGGAAUGCAGCCCUAUGAAAUUGCAUAAUGGUGGAAAUAAUGCCAUUCCAUGUGAAUCCAACACCAUAUUUACAUCACAGAUUUUAAUCUAUGUUCUUGGUUGUGCCACAAAGAGAUCUGGUUGUAACAUGAAGAAAAUGCAUUCCUUUUUUCCUUUUCUUUCUUAUUGGGGAUUUAUUCUUCUAUCGUUUUCAAUUCCUUUUGGGGCACAAAUGUGGGCUGCUGGGUAGGUUAGAGAGAAUAGCUUCUUCAGCUUUACAACUGGAAUAAUUGAUGAGUAACUGAGAACAAAUGAGAUGAAUAUUUUGGAUCAUAGAAAGUCACUGAAGGCUUUGACUAUAAGAAUAUCUUAAGUUUUCUUCUAUAAACCAUUAUCGAUUCCAAAAGUUAUCUUUUUUUUUUGUGAGAUUGCAUGUCUGGGGCCCUCUUUUUCCCAAACAACUUUAAAUUGAGUGUAUCACUAUCUUUAUUUCGUGCUAAGAAGCUGUAGUCCAUAUUUACAUUGUAGCUAGUAAAGUGCCCAAAUUUGGAAUCAGAUCAUGGCCUGGUAUGUCGAGAUUAUUCAUGGAACUGAGUGGAGGACAGAAAGUCUUAGAUCUAUACCUUUUCAAUAUUCAAAGUAAAAGGUGAAACUUGACUGCACAAGAUUAUUAUUGUAGGUUAUGCUUUCCUGAAAGAGUUGGUUGGUCCCCAGAGAUCUUGACUCACAUGGUUACAGCCUUUUGAGUCUCGGAAAAUUCUGCAGCAUAGGCUAAUUGAAUGAUUAAAUUGCUAGACAUUUUCACAGCAAUAGCUGCUAUAGAUUGUAAGGAUAUUAGCUCUUUGAAUCUCUCUGACUAUUUGCUGAAAUCUACCCAUUCAUAGCAAUUUAGGAUUGCAAAACUUGUGGUAAAUUACAGCAACAUCUCUCAAGAUUCAUCAUAUUUAUUGGGACCUCCUGUUCUGUUUCUAAAACUGCAUUGUGUGUCCUCAAGUUAGUUUGGAAGAUUUACAGACCAUCUGUAGCUGUUAACAUCAAAAAAGCAUUUUAUUUAAGGUCAGGAGUUUCCUUUCAAACUAUUUGGACAGAUCAUCCUGUAUGAAACACAGGCAAAUUACUAUGACUGCUGUUUUUUGAACAGGAAUUGUUGACCAGGGAACUAAGUGUAAUUUGAGAAAAAAGAUGGAGAGCCUAUAGUUAUGACAGACCUCAGUUAAUGGUGUUCCAAUCAUUCUAUAGAAUUACCGGAGGAUGAGGUUAUGGAAUUACCAGAGGAUGAGGACAUUGUAAUAGUUUAACUAUGAGCAUUUCGCUGGCACUUUUGACUGAUGUAACUAAAGGCAAGGCCUUCUACAUGCAUCCUUUUGACAAGGUCCA